UCUGGGGGACUACGACCGCAAGGCUGAAACUUGAAGGAAUUGACGGAAGGGCACACCAGGGGUGGAGCCUGUGGCUUAAUUUGAAUCAACACGGGGAAACUUACCAGGACCAGAUGUUUUUUAUGACUGACAGGCUUCGGGUCUUUCAGGAUAUUGUUUUUGGUGGUGCAUGGCCGUUGGUGGUGCGUGGGUUGACCUGUCUAGCGUUGAUUCAGCUAACGAGCGAGAUUAUCGCCAAUUAUUUACUUUGCCGAAGUCCUUCGGUUAAAGUUCUAAUUGGGACUCCCUGCGAUUUUAGCAGGUGGAAGAGGGUAGCAAUAACAGGUCCGUGAUGCCCUUUAGAUGCUCUGGGCUGCACGCGUGCUACAAUGUUAGGAUCAAAGGGACCUGCGAG
rnacentral:rRNA from 1 species